GCCUUUAGGGCUGAGCUUCAUUUCAAUAGAGCAUGAACCUCUUAAUCUCAGGGUCGUGGGUUUGAUCCCCACGUUGGGCA